AUUGUUCCUUGGCUUUUUUUGGCUAAGAUGAAGCAUAGUGUCUGUUCUUACCAACUUAACAUUUGAUAUGGCCACUAUCUGAUAACAAUUGAUUAAAAGGAUUUUUGGUGCUAGAAGAUAGAAUAGAAGCUUGCUCUAUCCACUGAAAACAUUGACCUGGCAUUGUAGUACCUCCAGGAACAAUGCACUGAAA
ensembl:snRNA U2 U2 spliceosomal RNA